rnacentral:misc_RNA from 1 species
AAAUGCGAUAAGUAGUGUGAAUUGCAGAAUUCAGUGAAUCAUCGAAUCUUUGAACGCACGUUGCGCCCUUUGGUAUUCCUUAGGGCAUGCCUGUUCGAGCGUCAUUUAAACCUUCAAGCUCAGCUUGGUGAUGGGUGACUGUCCUCCCCUCGCGGGGGGACUCGCCUCAAAAACAUUGGCGGCCGGUACAUUGGCUUCGAGCGCAGCAGAAACGCGGUCUCGAGCCCGGUGGAUCGGCUCCCAUAAGCCUCUUCUUUUAUUUUGACCUCGGAUCAGGUAGGGAUACCCGCUGAACUUAAGC